GAUCCUGGCUCAGGAUGAACGCUAGCUACAGGCUUAACACAUGCAAGUCGGGGGGCAGCAUCAUCAAAGCUUGCUUUGAUGGAUGGCGACCGGCGCACGGGUGAGUAACACGUAUCCAACCUGCCGACAACACUGGGAUAGCCUUUCGAAAGAAAGAUUAAUACCGGAUGGCAUAGUUUUUCCGCAUGGGAUAAUUAUUAAAGAAUUUCGGUUGUCGAUGGGGAUGCGUUCCAUUAGGCAG
rnacentral:rRNA from 1 species